GGGGUUGUGGCUCAGUGGUAGAGUGCUUGCCUAGCAUGUGUGAGGCACUGGGUUCAAUUCUCAGCACCA
rfam:Ictidomys tridecemlineatus contig003127, whole genome shotgun sequence.